ACAAGCUGGUGUACAAAAGAGCUGGUUUACAAGCUUGGCUUGGUUUAUAUGCAGCAAUUACUCAGCAUGGAGCAGCCCUGGAUGCACGAUGUGAGCUGGUGCCUAAGAUGAAGGGAAAUAAGCAAGCUUAUGGGUCAUCUUUGCUUUGAACCAGACCCUCCUGCAGCAGGAAAGCCUGCGAGCAGGCAGUCUUCAGAUCCCCUACACGACGGAGGAUCUCAUCAAACACUAUAACUGCGGGGACCUCAGCUCCGUCAUCCUCAGCCAUGACAGCUCCCAGGUUCCCAAUUUUAUUAAUGCCACGCUACCACCUCAGGAGCGCAUCACUGCUCAGGAGAUUGACAGCUACUUACGCCGGGAGCUGAUCUACAAGCGGAAUGAGAGAAUAGGGAAGCGGGUGAAGGCCCUUUUGGAGGAGUUCCCUGACAAAGGCUUCUUCUUUGCCUUUGGAGCUGGUGAGUAGUGGGUCACCUCUGAUUAGCCUCUGAAAUCUGAGGCUUCUCCCAAGAAGGGAAUGUUGAGGUGAGCCCCUGCUUA
rnacentral:lncRNA from 1 species